CAGCGCCGGCGCGCAGGAGGCGGUGGGGCCAGUGCGGGCGCUGGAGCCGCCGCGGCGGCAGGAAGAUGGAUGCGCCGGGCUCAUCCCUCGCCGCUCGGCAUCUUUCCCUGGCGGCACGGGCUUCCAAAGCAGCUGAAUCCAGGACCUUAAGUAAUGUCACGCAGUAGUUGCUGAACUAACUGGCUCUGAAAGGAAUAGAAAAAGAUGGCAGUCCAUAUUUGAAAUAAACACGUGGACUCCUGCUAAUAAGAAACCAUGUCAAAAAAAGGACGAAGCAAGGGCGAAAAGCCUGAGGCACUGAUUGUUGCCCUGCAGGCUGCCAAUGAGGAACUCAGGACUAAGCUAACAGACAUUCAAAUUGAGCUGCAUCAGGAGAAAUCUAAGGUUGCUAAACUCGAAAGAGAGAAGACUCAAGAAACGAAGCGUAUCCGCGAAGUGGAGCAACGCAAGCAGACCGUGCAGAUCACAGAACUAAAAGCCAAACUCCAUGAGGAGAAAAUGAAGGAACUGCAGGCUGUGAGGGAGAACCUCAUCAAACAGCACGAGCAGGAGAUGACGAGAAUGGUGAAAGUCCGAGACAGUGAAAUCCAGCGCCUCAAGUCAGCGCUGUGCGCACUGCGGGACGGGAGCAGUGAUAAAGUACGGACAGCGCUGACUAUUGAGGCUCGUGAGGAGGCCAGGAAACAGUUUGACUCUGAGCGCCUUAAGCUUCUGCAGGAAAUUACGGAACUGAAGUCUGCCAAAAAGCAGGUAGAUGAGGCCCUUAACAAUAUGAUCCAGGCCGAUAAGAUCAAGGCAGGCGAUCUUCGGAGUGAGCAUCAGUCCCACCAGGAAGCCAUUUCCAAGAUCAAAUGGGAGAGUGAAAGGGAUAUUCGACGCCUGAUGGACGAGAUCAAGGCUAAAGACAGGAUCAUAUUUUCAUUGGAGAAGGAACUGGAGACACAAACAGGCUAUGUGCAGAAGCUGCAGCUGCAAAAGGAAGCUCUGGAUGAACAGCUCUUUUUGGUGAAGGAGGCAGAGUGUAACAUGAGCAGUCCCAAAAGAGAGAUCCCAGGAAGAGCUGGAGAUGGUUCGGAGCACUGCAGCAGCCCUGACUUGCGCAGAAACCAGAAGAGGAUAGCAGAGCUGAAUGCCACGAUACGAAAGCUGGAAGACCGGAACACGUUGCUUGUUGAUGAACGAAAUGAGCUGUUGAAGCGUGUCCGAGAAGCUGAGAAACAAUGUAAACCUCUUCUGGAAAAGAAUAAGUGCCUCACGAAGAGAAAUGAUGAACUUAUGCAGUCUUUGCAGCGCAUGGAAGAUAAACUCAAAGCAGUCACUAAAGAAAAUAUAGAAAUGAGAGAAAAAAUAACGUCACAUCCUCCUCUAAAGAAAUUAAGAUCUCUCAAUGACCUGGAUCAGGCUAAUGAGGAACAAGAAACUGAAUUUUUAAAGCUUCAGGUCAUAGAACAGCAGAACAUAAUUGAUGAAUUAACAAGGGACAGGGAGAAACUCAUUCGUCGGAGAAAGCAUAAAAGGAGCUCAAAACCAAUCAAGAGACAUGUGGUGGAUACAGUUUUUGGAUAUGAUGAUGAUUCUAUGGACUCUGAAACAUCCUCUGUGGCCUCAUAUAGAACAGACAGGACACCAGCAACCCCAGAUGAUGAUCUGGAUGAGGGUUUAGCAGCAGAAGAGUCAGAGCUGCGGUUUCGACAGCUGACAAAGGAGUACCAGGCCCUGCAGAGAGCAUAUGCACUGCUGCAGGAACAGACAGGAGGGGUCAUAGAUGCUGAAAGAGAAGCCAGGGCUCAGGAGCAACUUCAAGCUGAAGUCCAGAGGUAUAAAGCCAAAAUAGAAGAUCUGGAGAAAACUUUGGCUCAGAAAGGGCAAGACUCACACUGGGUGGAAGACAAGCAGCUUUUCAUUAAGAGGAACCAAGAGCUUUUAGACAAGAUAGAGAAAACGGAAGCAGAAAACAACCGUCUGCAACAGGAGCUGCAGGAUGCGCGAGACCAGAAUGAGCUGCUGGAGUUCCGCAACCUUGAGCUGGAGGAAAGAGAGAGACGGUCUCCACCAUUUAAUCUCCAGAUUCACCCAUUCUCAGAUGGUGUGAGUGCUCUACAGAUCUACUGCAUGAAGGAAGGGGUUAAGGAUGUCAGCAUCCCAGACCUUAUAAAGCAGUUAGACAUCCUAGGUGAUAAUGGGAAUUUAAGGAAUGAAGAACAAGUGGCCAUAAUUCAGGCUUCCACGGUAUUGUCCUUGGCAGAAAAGUGGAUCCAGCAGAUUGAGGGAGCUGAAGCCGCUCUGCAUCAGAAGAUGAUGGAACUGGAAAGUGAUAUGGAGCAGUUUUGCAAAAUAAAAGGUUAUUUGGAGGAAGAACUAGACUACAGGAAGCAAGCUCUUGACCAAGCAUACAUGAGGAUCCAGGAGCUUGAAGCCACCUUGUACAAUGCUUUGCAGCAAGAAACAGUGAUAAAGUUUGGGGAACUACUCACUGAAAAACAGCAGGAAGAGCUGCGGACAGCAGUAGAAAAACUAAGACGUCAGAUGCUGAGGAAGAGUAGAGAAUAUGAUUGCCAGAUUCUUCAGGAGAGGAUGGAGCUGCUCCAGCAGGCUCAUCAGAGGAUACGAGAUUUAGAAGACAAAACUGACAUCCAGAAGAGACAAAUUAAGGAUCUGGAGGAAAAGUUUCUGUUUCUAUUCUUGUUCUUCUCUCUUGCCUUUAUUCUUUGGCCUUGAUGUCAGUGUGCCUCUUGGAAAGAGGAUCUGCACUGCUGUGAACUCCCUUGAACUGUAAAGACAGCUGCAGCAGGUCCAGCAUCACAGCACGCAUGAUACCUGUAGAGUGUUUUACCAAGGCCAGUCACUCCACAGGUGCAAAGCAUCAAGUCUUGUAGCAGUUCCUCAAAAACAAGAGUGCCCGACCAGAGCGUUAAGUCCUUAUAAAGGCAAAUGCUUCCACCCCUCGAUGAAGAGAAUAUUGUUUACACCUAUUUUCAAAAGUAUAAAAAUGAACAACCUGUAGCCAAGACUGCAACCACCUUGUAUUUUAAAGCCAUCACUCAAAAUUUGUUACCUGACAGUUCCUGUCUAAAGCUAUGAUAUAUGCUGCAUCUAAUGAAAUCCCGUGUGUUGAAAUUACAAAAGGGGAAGAAAAAUAAACUGACAACCUACAUCACCUAGGAAGAACUUAAAGGGAAGGAACCACUUUCAGCUGAUCAAGUCAGUGUGUCUUGGGCAUGGAACCAAAGCUAAAAUAGAAAAAUCUAUUCCUGCUGUGCAGGUAAAUCAUUUUAAUGUCACCCUAUCAUCUGACAAAUGGAUCAAAAACGAACAGAUCAGAGUAGGAGAAACUCAAGAGAGGCUGACAACAAAGUGCUCAAUUUGAAGUGUGUGGCUUUCUCGUGGCAGGGACUCCUACUCGCCCCCUUUGGUUUUAACCUCAGGAACAAAUGUCAGCUGCAAUGUGGAAGGAAGAAAGGAAAAAAGAAAAACGGUUUGGGCUAUUGCAGGAUUGGAAGGACAGGGUCACCAUGUUCUGUGCUUGAGCACAGCACCACCUGCCUUGGCCAAGGAUUGGAAGAAGAGGAUGUCUGGCAUGCGGAGGGUUUCCAGGGGAGUUGAAGCCUUAUCUCUCCUCACCAUCCCUCCAAGAAGAACAGCCUGUUUAUUAUCAGAUACUUUUCAUACUCUGUAAAGACUGCCAUUGAGCUAAUAAUUACUAUACUUGGUUUCACUAUAGAAUAACCACUGAGGAUUACUGAAUUGGACCUACAGAGUAGCUUCUGAGAAUAAAAUGUUGGAGGACAGGGCAGGGAGGAAAGCUAAUCCCCUUAUCCAUGUGACAUGAUUCACAAAGCAUCAGCUUCCAACUGUUUUGUCCCAGCUUGGAAAAAAUGUUCAGCUUAUUAACUGACUUUGUCCGUUGGCUUCCUAAUCAAUGAUACACAGACCAAAAAUGGGGAAGAACUUAGUGAACACAAUCUUAUUACAAAUAAGAAAUAUUGCUAGUCUGUUUAGAUUUUUCCACAGUUAAGAGUAACUAAAGGUAAUUUUCAUUUCAGAGCAUUACUUAACCUCUGUAGUCACAAAGCAUGGAACCCAGCCUUGGUGCCAACCUGAGGUCAUAGGUCCAUGCACCCCUGUACUCUUUCAGAAACAUCUCUGAGGAGCAUAAGGCCUGCAGCAAUCUCUGUGAGGGUCCUGUGCCAAGGGAAGCCAGAGCUGCACCCACCCUCCCUUUUUCACUGAUGGACUGACAGUGCACUUCUCAGUGCCUCUGGUUUCAUUACCUGGGCAAUGGAGUCCUGCCAGUUCAGACUUCGGCUUCCAAGGCUCUGUCUUCUGCGAUGGAGCCUUAAUUUUAACUGGAGGAAAUGGAUUUCUGUACUACAAACUAGAAAAUUAAGGGCCAGAAUACAGCUUGUGCGUUACUUACACCUUCAAAGCAGGGAUCGUGUGUACCAACAACUUACGCACAUCAGAAGCUUUUAAAGUGGGUUUUUUUUUUUCAAAGAGCUUCUCCUGGUGUUGCCUGUUUACUUUGACAGAUGAAGCAGCUGAGGCAAAAAGCAGUGAGGUCACUUGCCAGGGCAACUCAGCACAUCAAAAGCAGUUCCUUAGCCAUAGGAAGAAGGACGUUCUUUUAGUAUCAAGGAUGCCUGCCCCUCACAGAUACUUUUUUUUGGCCAGAGUAGCUUUUAAUUAGUAAUAUCCAUUUGCCCAACUGCAUUGCAAUUCUGAGCUCAGUUUCUCCACAAAGACUACUAACAUCCUUAUUUCUUGAGUGCCAGUACAUAGUGUUAAGCUUUGAAUCGAAAAGGAGAAGUUAUUAGCAAGUGAUUUUUUUUUUUCCUGCUCCUUAAAAUUAAAUUAUAUAAUGACCACAUCCUCUUGAAACACUCUGGUUCAGCCUAGGGGUGUAUUGAGUUCUGGCACCAAGCUGCAUGUUUGCUUGUUCAUUUUUUAAAAAGAAAUAUGCUUGUAGGUAGAUACAUUAUGUGACUGCAGGCACAUUGCGUGCUUUUUGUUCAAAUUCCUUUUCCCUGGCAGAAGGCUUUGUGAAUAAGGUUGACCCAAAUGUACAUGUGCUUUCCACAGGUUAGGAGCUCCGGAGUUGGGCCCUGGAAGAGUGGCCCCACUCCUGUGACAGCUGGAGAUCUCUGAGAAGCUUAACAUAUUGUUAGUUGCAAAGAGGGGGCUUUCUCUCUGGUUAUUCCUUCUUCCCACCUCACUCUUUUCUCCUCUGUUGCAGCAUCAGGUAAUUUUACACCUUCAGGCUGUUUUUCUGUGUUAGGGCUGGCAGUUAAAGCACUGAGUUCUUGCAGAAGAAUGAGCAGCACUUGGUUUCAGUGAUGGUGCAAUAAUUUCCACCUCUGGUUUGGUUUUAAAAAAAUAACAUAGAAAUGUUCAUUUCAGGCAAUUGUACAGAAGGUUUAUGGCACAGAUAGAAAUACACAGUUUCACAGCAUACCUGACUGGUCUUGUAGCAGGCUUCAUCAUUUACACUCCAUGAGCCAUGUUAUCUUUACUUUUUUUUUUUUAAUCUAAUUUGCAGUCCCUCACUCCUGUGUGUAUACAUAUGCAUGCAGGUAUUGCAUUCCCAAGGGCUCAGGGUGGGAUGGGGGCUGCUAGUCUGACUGCAGCAGACCUGGGUCUGCAAACUUUUCAAAGAUUGUUCUUCACUCCAGGGAGCUGAACCACCACUGCUUUACUCUCCUUGCAGCGUAACACAUGCCAUGCCUAAAACACACUUGCUCAUAUGAGUUAAUACGAACUUUCUGCUAUCAGCUAGAUCAAAAUGAGAUUAAUGUCUCUGUGUGUGUGUAUAUAUAUAUAUAUAUACACACAUGUAUCUCUAUGUAUAUGUACAUAUAUAUACAUAUAUAUGCAUACACUUACCUAUUCCCUGUUGUAUAUAGAAAUUAUUGCUAUGAUUUACGAAAGUAUUACUUCAGUCUAGGCAGGGGGAACUGAAUAAAGAUUGUUUAGCUGCCACAGCUGGUACCGUCCUCCAGGUUUAUUUUCACAUCUCAUGGACAACUAAUUUUUUGAUUCUUUUUUCUGGACCCAUCUCUGUUCUUGGACUGUUAAUCCUGGGCUUUCUGCUGUUCCUGAUGUUCAUUGAAGCAAAGGAUUGAGGAACCUCUGUCAGAUUUGUCACUGCUGCCAACCUCCCCUCCCCAAAACCAAGAAGAAAAAUAAAAGUCAAUUUACUGCAGCCUUUGAGAACAGCAAAUACACCCCUGGAUCCCUCCCAUGCAUCCCUUCGAGGCCUGUUCAGGUGUAGCAGCACUCCAGGCUAUCCAUCCAAAGCAGAAGGUGAGCCACAGAAGGUAGUACAGGUCAUCUUGACCACAAUUUGACUUGCUGCUUUUUUUUUCCCAAAGACCAAGUUGGGAGAUUUUGAAGACUAUUUUUUUAAUUUAAGCACUUCAGAUGAGGGCCUGGUUAUGUAAGAUGAAUUUAGGCAAUUUGGGUUGCAGUAAGGAAAUGGUACUUGCAGUGUUAGCAGCCUGGCUCACAGCUCCAUCCUCUCCUACUGAUGUGCUUGAAGGACAAUGGAGUGGGGUUUUUUAGGUGGUGUUCAUCUUCCAACCCCCUACCAACAUCUCCGUGGGAAACAUCCUAAGAAACCCAAAGCUUUCAGUUCUGUGGCAUCUCAUGAGGACUGCCCAGGCCAGGCUCUCCCAACGUGAGCAGGGCUGAGAGAACAAAAACACAGCUGCUGGUGAUCCAAAGGAUUUUCUCUUCCCCUGCCCUCUCUCACAUCAGCACCUCUGUGGUUUCAUAUAUACUUUUGUUCCAGAAUUUUUUGGUGUCUCUUCCAGAAGAAAAUUGUCAAUGACUUGGCAGAAUGACCCUUUGAUAAGCACUGGACAUGUAUCUGUACUAUAUGUAUUAACGUGUAGGAGAGAAUCCUUAUUGUAUGUAAAGUUUUAUGAAUGGUUAUUUUUUAAUUUAUGUAUUUAAUAUAGGAUUCAAUGA